rnacentral:SRP_RNA from 1 species
GCCAGACUUGGUGAAGCAUGCCUGUAAUCCUUGUUCUGAGGCUAGGCUGAGGCUAGUGGAUUGCUCGAAAUUAGGAGUUGUGAGCUAGGGCUAAGCCUACUGAGUGACCACACUAAGUGUAGAAUCAAUACGGUGAACCCCUAGGUGGGGUUCACCAGGCUGCCUAUGGAAGGGAGAAGUGGUCUGGGUCCAAAAUGGAACAGGUCAAAGUUUCUGUGAUGAGUAGUGGUGGGAUCAAUCCCACGAGUGGCUGCCUCACUUCCAACCUGGGCAAGAUAAGGAGACCCAAGCUUA